GAUGAACGCUGGCGGCGUGCUUAACACAUGCAAGUCGAACGAUGAAGCCCAGCUUGCUGGGUGGUUUAGUGGCGAACGGGUGAGUAACACGUGAGCAACCUGCCCCUCACUCUGGGAUAAGCGCUGGAAACGGCGCCUAAUACUGGACAUGUCCUGUCACCGCAUGGUGUGCGGGUGGAAAGAUUUUUCGGUUGGGGAUGGGCUCGCGGCCUAUCAGCUUGUUGGUGAGGUAAUGGCUCACCAAGGCGUCGACGGGUAGCCGGCCUGAGAGGGUGACCGGCCACACUGGGACUGAGACACGGCCCAGACUCCUACGGGAGGCAGCAGUGGGGAAUAUUGCACAAUGGGCGGAAGCCUGAUGCAGCAGCGCCGCGUGAGGGAUGACGGCCUUCGGGUUGUAAACCUCUUUUAGCGGGGAAGAAGCGAAAGUGACGGUACCUGCAGAAAAAGCACCGGCUAACUACGUG
rnacentral:rRNA from 1 species